UACGUAGGGUGCGAGCGUUUGUCCGGAAUUAUUGGGCGUAAAGAGCUCGUAGGCGGUUUGUUGCGUCGGCUGUGAAAUCCCGAGGCUCAACCUCGGGUCUGCAGUCGAUACGAGCAAACUAGAGUGUUGCAGGGGAGACUGGAAUUCCUGGUGUAGCGGUGAAAUGCGCAGAUAUCAGGAGGAACACCGGUGGCGAAGGCGGGUCUCUGGGCCGAUACUGACGCUGAGGAGCGAAAGCGUGGGGAGCGAACAGG
rnacentral:rRNA from 1 species